rnacentral:rRNA from 1 species
AUUGAACGCUGGCGGCAUGCCUUACACAUGCAAGUCGAACGGCAGCACGGGAGCAAUCCUGGUGGCGAGUGGCGAACGGGUGAGUAAAGUAUCGGAACGUGCCCAGUCGUGGGGGAUAACGUAGCGAAAGUUACGCUAAUACCGCAUACGAUCUAUGAAUGAAAGCGGGGGAUCGCAAGACCUCGCGCGAUUGGAGCGGCCGAUAUCAGAUUAGGUAGUUGGUGGGGUAAAGGCUCACCAAGCCGACGAUCUGUAGCUGGUCUGAGAGGACGACCAGCCACACUGGGACUGAGACACGGGCCAGACUCCUACGGGAGGCAGCAGUGGGGAAUUUUGGACAAUGGGCGCAAGCCUGAUCCAGCCAUGCCGCGUGCAGGAUGAAGGCCUUCGGGUUGUAAACUGCUUUUGUACGGAACGAAAAGGUUUGACUUAAUACGUUGGACUCAUGACGGUACCGUAAGAAUAAGCACCGGCUAACUACGUGCCAGCCGCCGCGGUAA